AAAGUUAUUAUUUAUGCUAUCAUUUAGAGCAUUUAAUAUAAAAUAUUUGUUGAAAAUUAUGCGGAAUUGCAUAAAAAUUAUUAGAAAACAUAUGCUAUUUUUCCUAUUAAAAAUAUUUUUCUUUAAACUUUUUAUCAAUAAUUUGUGCACUUAUUAGUGUUCCUACUAGGGAGAUGGGACCUAGAGUACUGUUAAAGUCUUCUUCUCCUUCCUUCAGUCGGUCAAGUCGUUGGGUGAUGAACUGAGAUUUUUCUCGUUCUCCUGCUUCUCCUUCGGCACUCGGUCUCGGUGAACACCGGAUGGUGGGGGUACCUGCAAAGGCACUCCGACGCUCAAGUCAGUAAAGCGGGUGAUGGUGCUCUGGUAGGUGAACAGUAAUAAAUGACAUACAUUACUCCUUGGGAUGCAUGCUAUUUAUAUUAUUCUAAUGACCCUACCUUGUUGGGCCCGUUUUAUCGAGGUGGACCCUGUUUAGGAUUGCAUUACCUAAUCCUUAAUGACGGGUUAGCUUAACUGACCUGGGUUUGAGCAUUGACGGUAAUAUGGGUCGGCCGUCGGCCAAGUCUUUUAAGGAGUUGGCCUCGCCUUGGUCGUCUCGGCCAAAGUCUCGACCAUGUAGACCAUCGGUCUCGUCCUCUUGGCUGAGUCUCUCAGGUUUCGGCCAAGUUCCUCUGGUCUCAGUCAAGUAGACCAGGUCUCAGGCAGUCAGGUGGGUCUCGGUCAAGGAGACAAGGAGUCGGCCUCACCCAUAUUGAUACAAUUAGCAUUUCAAUAUUUAAAAAAAAAAUAUUUAAAAUGAAUAUUUUAUAUGUGAGUCUUCAUAGCAUUGAUUAAAUCAUUAACAAUUUUUUUAUUGAAAAUAGCAUAGACUACAUUAAAAAGAUCAUAGGAGAUUAUAUUUCUACACGUCUUAAUAAAAAAUCUUAUAAAUUUUUAAUCAAACACUAGUUUGCAUUUGCCUUUUAUCUUUUGUACGACAAUAGUAACAUUAGAACUUAAAACUUCUACAAUAGACCAAGGUUUUACUGGUAAUGUUUAAUACAUAGUAGUGAUGUCACAUAAUAAAUAAAUAAAAUAUUUGUAAGACUAAGAAAAAUGUGGAGAUAAUUUUUAACAUUUAGCGUUGGCCAAUAAUGAUAUUGUUAAAAUUAGUUAAAGAGAUUUCUACACGAUACAAACUGUUUAUAAUUAUUUUAAUAAUAUGUAAUUCAUAAAAAUGUUAUAAAUUUUAAUCAUAUAAAAUAUUUGAAAGAAAAGAUAUUAAAGUGGACUUAGUCACCUUUAAUAAUAUUAGAAAAAUAUAAGAAUUAUAUAACCGUUUCUAAUAAUAUUAAAUAUAUUAUAAUAAUUAUAAAUAUGUUACAAAAUAUAUUAUAAUUAAUUUAAUCGAUUCUAAUAAUAUUAAAUAUAGUAUAAAAAUAAGAUAAUAAAGUUAUUUUAACUUAUUUUAAUAAUAUUAAAUAUAUUUUAAUAAUAAAAAUAUUUUAAUAUUUAUUUAGGUUAGUAUUAACUUUUUUUUAACUAUUGUGACGAUAACUAUGACUUGUUAAUUAUUUUUAAUUAAUCAUCUUCUCAUUCACAAUUUUUUUGAAAUCUCCUCACAGUUGUCUAUUUCACUCAUAUUUAUUUCAUUUAUUCAUAUAUAUUUUCUUCAUUCACCCUUAUCUUUCCCUCUCCUUUAUUCACAUUCAUAUAAUUCUUUGAUAUUUAUCUUUCUUGUUCAUACUUUUCUCCUUCAUCAACAAUUUUUUUCUAUUUUAUUUUUUAAAGAUAAAAAUCUUGCAUGAGAAAUUUCUUUUUUAAAAUUAUUGUCAUUAGCAUACGUUAAAUUAACACAAAUUAAAUUAAUAUUAAAAUUAUAUUUUAUUUAAUAUCGAUUAAACGGUGUUAAUAUGUUUUUAUUUUAAAAUUUAUUUAAUUUAAUGUUGAUUAUUUUUAAUUAAAAAUUAAUGAUGAAUUAGUAUCGAUUUUGAAAAGUUGAAAUUAAUGAAUAAACGUUUAUUAUUGAUUAAUUAGUGUUAAUCUUUAUUUAUUAAUGUUAAUUUUUGAAUAACGUUAAACAUAUAUUUUCUUACAGUUUAAUGAGUGUUCUUGAUAUUUUCGUUAUGAAAUUAAAAAAAAAUUAUCAAAAUUCUCUAGAAGAGGGUAUUUUUAUGUAACCCAAUUAAAAAAAAAUACUAAUUUUAUUUCUUUAACCAUUGUCAAUCAAUGUUCUAGGGUAGUAUUGGUAAGCAUUUUCCAAUAAAAAAAACAUUCCAUUGACUAUAGGACAAAUGCUAAUUAAUAUCCUAAAAAUAAUUAUUAAGGAAUAAAAAGAAUUUUGUAUUAUUAAAAUACAUGAAUAAUACUUAAGAAAAACAGUCCCAUAUAUAUUUUCAGUAAAUUUUUCUCAUUUUAACUUUUAAACUGGUAAAUCUAACAUAAUUCAAUAGCUAGAAUUUAUAAAAGAUUUAUAAGAAAGGUUGCUCUGUGAAAGUGAUAAAAAAUAACCAUUUCAAAGAGAAUAAAAAGAAGUUGACACAAUUACAAGUUCUAUUAAAAAACUCAAGCAUGGUGGACACUGUAAAACAGAUGAUAGAAUAUAAGAAUGGUUAUAAUGGUGAGUUGCUGAAUCAAUCUUCCAUUAUUUUACCAAAAUAUUAAACUCUUAUUUAAUUAACAUGCUAAUAAUUUGCUGAAGUCUUUCUGAAGUUGUUUUAACCAUGAAAGUUGAAUAUUUGUUUGAAGUUGCAGCGUCACCUGUUUUAUCUCAUGCUAUUUCAUCUUUCCUUAAGUUCCAUUGAAUCCUAAUCAGCUUCUCUUAUCCUUAUCUCCAUGGAAAUUUCCACACACUUUCGGAUUCAUGCUCUUUAGCCUUCACCCACAAAGCUACUUACUUGUACUCUUUCUACUAUCUAAUAUUUCAAGUGCUUUGUCUAACGUGUCUAUCUCAUCUACAACCUUCUCCAACAAAAAUUAUUAAUGCCCCCUUUCUUCUCAAAAUUUCAGAGACCCCACAAAUCAUGUAAGACGAUAUUAUUUAAUAUCAAUAUUAAAAUAUUAUUAAAAAAGUUGUUGAUUAAAGUGAUUUGAUUCUUAAGUCUAUUAAUGAACCAUUAUAUUUCGAUCUCCUUGUUGGGUUCUUUGGAAAGAAGAAACACAGAAAAAAUUAAUCAACCAUAAGUAAACCUAUAAAAGAAACUAAAUAUUUUUAGGUUUUCUUUUAUAUAUAUAUGGUUAAACAUCUCACAUCAACUAGUAAAAUAAAAAUAUUUAUAUAAUUGGGUGUAAAAUUUAUUUUAUAAGUAAAUUUUAUAAGAUUAAUUUAAAUUUAAAUUUUACUUUUUAAUAUGAUUUCAGAGUCAUUUAGAUCAUAUUCUAACGAGAGUUUGUUAGAUUUAUUAGACCACUGAACCACCUAUAAUAUAAUCUCACGCACGAGUUCACAACUUUAGCAUGAAGGGUGUGGAUUUGAGAUUUCAUAUCGGUUAAAGAUAAGAACAUUUCAUAGUAUACAAGUGACUGCAAAUCUUAUUUUAUAAGUCGAUUUUAUAAAUUGAUUUUAUAAGAUUAAGUUAAAUUUAAAGUUUAUAAUAUAUAUUAUUCUUUUUAUUUUUAUCUAAUUUAUACUUAAUUUUAAUAUAAAUAAUGAGAAACUAUUUUAAAGUAUUGUUUUAUCUUAAAAAUAGACCAAUUUGGUAAAAAAAAUUAGGUGGGUGUCAUAUAGAUACAUCAUAGCCAACAAUGAAAUAUCAAAGGAUUAUUUUAGUACUUCAAAGUGGAAAAUGUUGUCAGUUCUUAAAAUAAGAAAGUUCAAAAAAUUAGUUCCUAAUUUUUUAGUUAUUUCAUAAACUUCAUGGUAAUUAAAUUUUAGAAAUUUAGAAAGUUGCUGAACAAUCUUUUAAAAUUUAAACUAAAAUAUUGACUAAAAGAGUUGUAUAUAUAGUUUUUGAAGUGAUUAUUUGGAUAUUGAAAUAUUCAUGUGAUGAAAAUAAUCUUUUAGUGCCAUAUAAUAAUAAGGAUGAGAAGAGAAUUUUUGUGGGUACAAUUAUUGACAACAAUUUUGGUAGACGACAAAAACGUUCAACUAAUGAAUAAGUGUUUUGAAUUGUUUUACAAAACCUAAUUGGGAUGGACGCGGCGGCAGAUUAAGAAUUUUUGUUGUCCCAUCAUAAUGCUCAAUGAUUGAGAUAAAGUUUUCAACUUGAUGAUAAUUAGGUCACAAUGCUCAUAUGUAGGUCUUCUUAUACACUCACAAAUGCUACAAGGUUAUCUCACUCCUCCGUAUUUUUAAUUUUUUAUUGAUAAGUUUAUUCGUUAAUACCACAUUAAGUUGUGAUAAAUUCAGUUAUGCAAAUUCUCUCACCAUCAUAGUUUUCAUACACUUUCAUAUUUUUCAUACUAAUGAGAAAAGUCGGUUUUUUUAAUUUUAAAUAAUUAAAGUAUAAUAUCAUAUUUUUAAAUAAUCUCAGUUACACUAUCGCACUCUCAUAUCUUCCUUCUAGUCGCAUACCUCCCUUUCAGACUCUAUUCAUUUUGAUUGAUUGAACACGAUAACAAUAAAGGAAGUGCUAGCAGUUUCUUAAAUAGAGUCCUUAGUUGGUAACUCUUAGUUUCUUUCAUACGUUGUUGCUAAUAAGUUAGUGAGAUUGACUCGCUUUUAGCAUAGUACAAACUAGGAAAAGUUUCUCAAAACCAUGCAAUUAAACUGAUGAAAAGUGUUUCUCUCCCGCACCCAAAAAGGUGUUAAGGCUUUUUGACUUGUAGAAACACUUUCCUGCUAUUCGACCUUGCAUAAUUAUUUGACUCAUAUUGCGCUUCUUAGCCAAAUAAGUAUGUUUUCAUUUCCUUGCAAAACUAGAUACAUAAUUAAGGAACCAUGUCGUUCAAUCUUCUUUUCUUUUUUAUAAAAAAAAUUCUUCAUAAAAGAAAUCUAACAACAACAUAAUUCAGACACUUGCACCUAUAAAAGAGAGUCAAGUGUCGAUCUAGUUUGAUGUGAAUCUUGUUCUUUAAGGUCCUAGUCUCAAAUCACCAAAAAACUUACCUCAACCACCAAUGUUCUCCACCAGUCAUCACAAGCAAUCACUACUACUUGAAAAUGAAGAAGACACCAUACUCUUCCAUAUACUUAAAAGGGUAUUGUUGGAAUUAAAAAAAAGUAUGGAUGUGCAGGGAGAAUUUGUCAUUCACUUAAUAGAUAAUUUGUUAGGUUUCUUGAUCAAUAAUUGAUUGCUUGUUCAAUCAAAUAUUAAUCAUAUUUGAAGGGUUUUUUUUAUUUAACUAGUAGAAGAUCCUUGUAUUUUAAAUUGAGAACAAAUAUGAUCUUUUAAUUCAACAUUGUAUCCAGAAAGAAUAAAGUGUUAGAGAAUUAAAGGCAAUACUAGUAUUUUGGGUUAUCUAUGAUAAUUGGUUAGGUGUAAAAUUUGUACAUCAUGAACAAUUACUCCAGCAUUUUCAAUAUUUUCACCUCAUGAAACUCACUGAAAAACAAAAAGAGAGUAUGGAAAGGAGUGUAGAUAGGAAUUACAUGGACAAUUUGAAACCAUAGGAAUAUGAUAGUUUUAAACAAGGUAUGGUAGAUGUCCUAGAAGUAUUUUGUAUGGCACAACUAAAUGUUUGGACAUGAUUAAAGCAUAAGAUACCUAAAGCCCAAUUUUCUUACUCUAACUAGGUACAACGCCUAAUGCUUUUUUGAAAAUGUUGUGAACUUCUCUUAGAAGAUACCAUCUUUACAUUGCAGAUUUUGUGUUUUGAAAUAUAUUAUGGUCUUUGUUUAGGUCGAGGAGGUACUAACCUGCAGGUUCAUUCAAGAUAUAUGCAAGAUCUGUUUAAAGGGCACCAGUGUUCAAUGGACCUUGGGAUUGUUUGCAAACA
rnacentral:lncRNA from 1 species